CAGCUGCCUGGUAUGUGACUGGAGGUAUUUUGCAGUCAUUGCUGGAAUUUCACUGAUGUGGCCCCUAUGCUGCUUCCCUCUCCACCCCACGAUGUUGGAAGAAACUCGACAGAGUAAAUUGGCUGUGGCCAAGAAAAAGAAAGGAGAGAGGGCCUCGUGGCAGCAGAGGGUGUGGAAAAUGUCAGAGGAGGGCCCUUUCCCCCGUGCUUUGGGCAGGUUUGCACAUUGAAGGAGGAGAAGAAGCAUGACAUGCAUCGGGUACAGGAGAUGGAGAGGAUCUUGGCUGAACUCAAAAACUAGAUGGCUGAACCCCUGCCCCCAGAGCCCCCAGCAGGGCCCUCUGAGGUGGAACAGCAGCUACAAGCUGAGGCCGAGCACCUGAGGAAGGAGCUGGAGAGUCUGGCAGGACAGCUCCAAGCUCAGGUGCAAAACAAUCAAGGCUUGAGUCACUUGAACUGGGAGCAGGAGGAGAGGCUGCUGGAACAGGAGACUCUGCGGGAGCAGGAGAGGCUGCAGGAGCUGGAGGAGAAGCUGCAGGAGCAGGAGAGGCUGGGAGAGCGGGAGGAGAGUCUGCGGGAGCGGGAGGUGAGGCUGCGGGAGCGGGAGGAGAGGCUGCGGGAGCGGGAGGAGAGGCUGCGGGAGCGGGAGGAGAGGCUGCGGGAGCGGGAGGAGAGGCUGCGGGAGUGGGAGGAGAUGCUGCGGAGCGGGAGGACAAGCUGCUGGAGCUGGGGCGGAAAGCCAAGCUCUGGGAGGAGCAGGCAGAGAUGCGCAUGCAGACCCCGCGGAACCGCACCACCAUCAACCGCGCGCUCUCUCAGAACCGGGAGCUGGACUAGCAGCUGGCUGGGCCACAGAGCUGCUUAGAGGAGCUGAACAAUGAGAAUAAGAGUGCACUGCAGUUGGAGCAGCAAGUAAAGGAGCUGCAGGAGAAGCUGGGCAAGCUGAAGGAGACCGUAACCUCUGCCCAUCUAAGAAGGGCUGGGAGGAGCGCCUGGAAGGUACCAGCCAGCAGAACCAGCAGCUACAGGCCCAGUUGAGCCUCAUGGCACUCCCUAGGCAAGGCUUUGAAGACAAGAUUCCCAAAAGGAGAUUCUCUGAGAUGCAAAAUGAAAGACGAGAACAGGCACAGCGGACUGUUUUAAUACAUUGCCCAGAGAAAAUCAGUGAAAACAAGUUCCUUAAAUAUUUAUCCCAAUUUGGACCUAUUAAUAAUCAUUUCUUCUAUGAAAGCCUUGGUCUCUAUGCUGUCGUAGAAUUUUGCCAAAAGGAAAGCAUAGGUUCACUGCAGAAUGGGACUCAUACUCCAAGGACGGCCAUGGAGGCUGCAAUUCCAUUCAGAUCACGUUUCUUCAAUCUGAAGUUGAAAAACCCGACUUCUGAACGGUCACGCAUACGGUCAAGUAAUCAGUUGCCACGUUCAAACAAGCAGCUUUUUGAAUUACUUUGUUAUACAGAAAGUAUAGACGAUCAGCUGAACACUCUCUUGAAGGAGUUCCAGCUAACAGAGGAGAACACUAAGCUCCGAUAUCUCACCUGUUCUCUUAUUGAAGACAUAGCCGCUGCAUAUUUUCCGGACUGCAUAAUCAGACCCUUUGGCUCCUCGGUCAACACUUUUGGGAAGUUAGGAUGUGAUUUGGACAUGUUUUUGGAUCUAGAUGAAACCAGAAACCUCGGCGCUCACAAGACCUCAGGAAAUUUUCUGAUGGAAUUUCAAGUGAAAACUGUUCCUUCAGAAAGAAUUGCAACUCAGAAGAUCCUGUCUGUGUUAGGAGAGUGCCUUGACCACUUAGGCCCUGGUUGUGUGGGUGUGCAAAAAAUAUUAAAUGCCCGGUGUCCACUCGUGAGGUUCUCACACCAGGCCUCUGGAUUUCAGUGUGAUUUGACUACGAACAAUAGGAUUGCCUUGACAAGUUCCGAACUCCUUUAUAUAUAUGGUGCCCUAGACUCAAGAGUGAGAGCCUUGGUGUUCAGUAUACGGUGCUGGGCUCGAGCACAUUCACUAACAAGUAGUAUUCCUGGUGCAUGGAUUACAAAUUUCUCCCUUACAAUGAUGGUCAUCUUUUUUCUCCAGAGAAGAUCACCCCCUAUUCUUCCAACACUAGAUUCCUUAAAAACCCUAGCAGAUGCAGAAGAUAAAUGUAUAAUAGAAGGCAACAACUGCACAUUUGUUCGUGACUUGAAUAGAAUUAAACCUUCACGGAACACAGAAACAUUAGAAUUACUACUGAAGGAAUUUUUUGAGUAUUUCGGCAAUUUUGCUUUUGAUAAAAAUUCCAUAAAUAUUCGACAGGGAAGUGAGCAAAACAAACCUGAUUCUUCUCCUCUGUACAUUCAGAAUCCAUUUGAAACUUCUCUCAACAUAAGCAAAAAUGUAAGUCAAAGCCAGCUGCAAAAAUUUGUAGAUUUGGCCCGACAAAGUGCCUGGAUUUUACAACAGGAAGAUAGAGAUCGACCUUCCAUAUCAAGUAAUCGGCCCUGGGGGCUGGCAUCCCUAUUGCUACCAUCUGUAAACAGAAAGUCCUUUACCAAGAAGAAAAGCAAUAAGUUUGCAAUUGAAACAGUCAAAAACUUGUUAGAAUCUUUAAAAGGUAACGGAACAGAAAAUUUCACAAAAACCAGUGGGAAGAGAACAAUUAGUACUCAGGCAUGAUGGCUGCUACAUUGUGUAAAGAACUGGGCUUACCCUUUCAAAUGGUCUGUGGACUUACUUGGAAAAACUGGUUUGAAACUUUCACAGAUCUCAGCUUUCAUCUGAUGUCACUUUUCAUGAUUUUCUCAUUGGCCCCCUUAACCUGGUCUGAAGUUCUGGGAUGUUUUCAGUCUGAUCAGUCUGAUAGUCAGUGGGACUUUAUUAAAACAUCAGCUGUGGAGUGUGGCAGUGCACACCUGUAGUCCCAACUGCUCAGGAGGCUGAGGCAGGAGGAUCUCUUGAGCCCAGGAUUUUGAAUCCAUCGUGGACAACAUAGCAGGAUUCCCUCUCUGAAAAAAAUGAAAAUAAACAUAAGCCACAAGGAAUGGGUGAAAGAUUAUUGUAAUGUGCUUUAACUAAAUAGGUAAAUAUACUAUACAAAUGCUAAAACUCAGUUUUAGGAUGAAACCAUUUUUGAUAUCCACAUCAGUCCCUGUUUAGAAAACAUUUAAAAUGACUUUUAGUUAUGUACAAUACGUUGGCAAUGAAUACAUUAAGCUUCAGAAUUUGGUAGUGCUCUUGAAUAUGUAUAUUUGUAUUUUUCAAGCGAAGUUCUCUUA
rnacentral:sRNA from 1 species